AUGAUGGACGUCAUGUCAAGCACGCCGCCGGAGAUCGAGUGGGCACUCCCGGCGGAUCUGUUGCUUGGGAUCACGGUGCGCUCCGACAUCCGCACCCUCGUUCGCUGCGCGGCGUUAUGCAAGCUUCUUCGACGAGACAUCCUCGACCCGUUCUUCAUCCGCCGCGUCACCCAGCACGGCAUCGUGCCUCCGUGCAUCCUCGCCUACCUCCAGAUGCCCCUCUCUUUGGUGCACCCAACCAUCCCUAGCGCCGCGUUGUUUUCUGACAACCAUUUUCUACCUUUCAUGCGUCGCGACACAAGUGGCAUCGUUGGGGACUACUAUCCUGUGACGUCCCGCGGCGGCCUCGUCCUUCUACGUCGUCGUCUUCAUGUCCGCAGCAGCCGCCCAGCUGAUCUGUGCGUGUACGACCCCAUCACCGGUCAUCGCACCUUCCUCUCGAAGCCACCAGGCAUCCCGUACAAUAGCGUGAUUUUUCACAGAUGUGUCUUGCUCACGGCCGCAGACGGCAUUGACUGUUCCUUCUUGAUAUUUGUUGGCAGUCUCAACACAUCAUUAUUUCCGCGUGCCGUCAUAGUUCAGAUCUUCACCUCAUUGACCAACACUUGGGGACCCAUCCUCACCCAUGAAAACUUCACAACAUUGUGGCUAGAGGUAGGUUUCGACGCUGUCGUCCUCCAUGAUGGCGUCAUCCACUGGUUGGCGCACGAUGGUGAAAAGAUACUCACCUACGACGUCCGCAUAGCCAAGCCAGGCAUAUUGGAGCUCCCUGUCUUUGACCCGGCCACUACCAAAUUCAAAGGAGGACAACUUCACCUGGGAUCCUACUCCUCACCGGAUGGGCACAUGCUACUAAGGCUACUCGUCGUCGUUGGGUCGACAAUGUCCGUGUGGCAUCAUCUCCCAUGUGGUGGUUGGGUUCUAGAGACUAUGACAGACAUGGAGGAUAAGCUACGGUUGCUCGACCAUAGUGCCCCUCCCGAGCAGCCUCUGGAGAUUUGGUUUAUGCUCUCCGGUGAGAGAAGCAAUGUCGUCUUGUUGCAUAUGCGUACAAGUUCGAUGACCAUUUUGCUUGACUUGGAGACAGAGGAGAUGCACGUGACACGCUCGGCUCCAUCAGCCACGCUCUUGGAGAUCGACAUGCCUUCUCGGUUGCGAGCCAUGACAAUAUUUUCCUAA
rnacentral:rRNA from 1 species